UUGCAUGAUGAGAUUCUGGUGGGAGAAUAUCUUAUUGCUUAGCCAGAUGUCGUGAGUUUACCCUGAAUGGGAGAGGGGUGACACAGCUCAUUUGCUCUUCAGAGCCUUGUAGUAUUAAGCAAGGAGUUGGAAGCCUUUAGUCACUGCAACCUUGAAGGUGCUGUUGCUAGAUAGCGUGAUAACAGAGGACAACAGCAGUCACCAGUCCUGACGAUCACUCUUUCCAUUUGAAAUAGUGACAGCUGGUGUGGGAAGGCUGCAGGCUGACCAGUUCCAGUGCAUCACAGCACCCGUCGCAGUGUAUGUGCUCAACGCCCAGAGAUGCUGGCCUCUGACAUACCACGUGUGAUGUCUUUGAAGUCCGUUGCUUUGUAAUUUCUGGCAAAUUGAGGAAAGAUGACUGCACAAAGCAAGCUAAGGGAGGAAUAGAUCUUUGCUUUCCAUUUAGCUGUUUCUCCCUCAUCAUCUGCCAAGAGCAAACUUUAAUUUAUAAUAGAAAAAUAAAUCUAGCUAGAGUUUACAUACAGAGAAUUGCUUUUAAAAUGAAUUUUGGCUGAAGGAAAACACUGCCUCGUUGUAGUCCUGUUUUUCAAGCAGGAGAAAUUAGAUCCUUAGAGUAGAGAUAAAAGAUGAAAGACAGGCCAAGUGCAGAAAGAGCUUCUUUCACUGCUGAAGGCCCCCUGUAUCCCCUCUCCCAAUAAUAAAGAUGAAUACGUAGCUAACCGUAGCAGGCUGUUUUAGCUAACGCUCUCAGUGUGGAUUAGGAAUGCAAGUGUUUGAAUUAAGCAUUUUUAUCAUGUUUCACUGCUUUGUAGGCUCCUCUUUGACUUGGGAAAGCUCAGGCAGGUGGAUGAAGCUAGAACAAAUCAAAAAUUAAUCUUUCUCUCUCCUUACACUGAGCCAGACCUAGAACUGGUACCGUGCUGCACAGCUUACAGUGAGAGCGAGGAGCACCCCAUCCCUUCAGGUGGACCCACUGGGGGAAGCCUUCAGCAUCACCUGAUGGGAGCAGGGCUCCAGGAGUCAGUGCCUGCAGGCUGCCUGCUGCUGUGAAUUUGGAAUAUUCUAUGUGAGAGAGCACCAAAAAGACCUUUCCAUUUGCAGUCUGGCAGAACUUUGGCACCUGGUAUCACUGCUCAUUUUUGCAUUUUCCCUUUUCCUUCCCACAUAUGCAGAGUAAAUUUGUUCAGGAAAGUGAUUUAUCUAAAACACCCCCGUUUCUCCUGUUCACUUUCUGCCAGAUUGCACUGUAAAGCAAACUAAGAAAAUCAGCUGCACACUUGUGCUAGUGUGAGGGAGAGUGCACACAGGAAGGAAUGGACAUGUAGGGGCAGGAAACAUAUACACUAACCAGGUAUCAGAACACUACUGAUUGAAUAAAGCUUCAUGUGAAAAUGUAGCAAGGUGGAAAAUUGACGAAAGAUAGUCUAUAUUGAAGCUUUGUCAGUUCACCUUUAGGCUGUUGGCACAGCUAAUGUGGACUGAGGUGUUUAGAAAAUGAUCCCUGUCAUCCUCUCUCAUGAUUACAGCAUCAAGCCCUCAGCUCUCCCAGUGCCCUGAGAACAAAAGGUGCUCGGUUUGCCCACUGGUAAUCAGUGAGUUGGCAUGACUGCCUCAGAAGGGGAACUUGCUGAUAGCAGUUGCUUGCUGUCACUUGCUUAGCAGGUUCCAGCAAAGCAACUGUCCUCAUUGGUGCAUGAGAUGUGACUUGGUCUCCUGUGAACAGAUGUGUUCCUCUGGAUCGUCUCAAAUUUUGGCUAGCAGGGAGGAUGAUCAAAACAACGUGGGAUUACAAUCCCAUCUGUGGUGUAGUUAUAGAAUAAAUUUUCAGUCUGUAAAGGGAAGGGUCUGUGCUGAGGGCAUUCUAGUAAGAAAUAUGAAGCUAAAGAUAUAAGCGAUUUUUAAACUGUUUUUGAUCUCAUAGAGGAUGUGUUACUUACUGGUUUAUUGUUCUGUUUAAGAUUCAACUGUAUGUUGUGACGAUAUGUUUCUCUUGCAAUUUUUUUUUAAAGCUGACUUUCUUGGCUUCUAUUUUUAUUGAUAUUAAAGAAGCUAAUCUUCCC
ensembl:lncRNA